CAGAAUCUUUCAAAAUUUUAAUUGCAACAUCUUAACUUUUAAUUUAUUUAAUUUAAAUUAUUUAAUAAGUUUUUUUAUACAAAAUUUAAAUUAGUUAUUUAUUUUAAUAAAUUUAUAGUUGUAUAGAUUAUAUAAAUAUAUUAACUAAGUUUGUAAAUAUAAAUGAUACAUUCUAAUUUUAAAGUUAAUGAGACACUAACUGACUCAAAUUAAAUAAAUUAAGAGGUUAUGUAGUAAAUUAAAAUUUUUAAAGAUUCUGUGAUAAGAUCAAAAUGGUAGAUAGUUGAGGGAAGUUUUAUAUAUUUUUACAAAUUUUUUUUCCUAAGGAUGCUUGUAGUUCGAUGCGUGCAUAUUUGCUGCUGGACGUUUGCUGAUGUGCAAAGGACGCAUGGAUAAGUUGAUGAUGUGCAAAGGACGCGUGGAUAAGUUGAUGAUAAAGAAAAUUGUGGAAGGGAAUAAAUAGUACAUAGGAAAUAGGAAAUAAAAAAGACGCGCCUAAAUUGUGUGUUUGUGUAUGGGACAUACACAGUUAAUGCAAAGGACGUUUCCUUCUGCAAAAAGACGAGACGUGACUAAAUUGCGUGUUUGUGUAUGGGACAUACACAGUUAAUACAAAUGACGUUUCCUUGUGCACAGGAUCUAGGGAUAAGUUCAUGAUAAAGAAAAUUGUGGGACGGAAUCUUUCAAAAUUUUAAUUGCAACAUCUUAGCUUUUAAUUUAUUUAAUUUAAAUUAUUUAAUAGUUUUUUAUACAAAAUUUAAAUUAGUUAUUUAUUUUAAUAAAUUUAUAGUUGUAUAGAUUAUAUAAAUAUAUUAACUAUGUUUGUAAAUAUAAAUGAUGCAUUCUAAUUUUGAAGUUAAUGAGACACUAACUGACUCAAAUUAAAUAAAUUAAGAGGUUAUGUAGUAAAUUAAAAUUUUUAAAGGUUCGGUGAUAAGAU
rnacentral:lncRNA from 1 species